CGCGGGGUAGAGCAAUGGCAGCUCGCCAGGCCCAUAACCUGGAGGUUGCGGGUUCAAGUCCCGCCCCCGCUACCA
rnacentral:tRNA from 2 species